GAUGAACGCUGGCGGCGUGCCUAACACAUGCAAGUCGAGCGGAGAUAUUGUUGCUUGCAACAAUAUCUUAGCGGCGGACGGGUGAGUAACACGUGGGUAACUUGCCCUAAACAAAGGGAUAACAAUGAGAAAUCAUUGCUAAUACCGUAUAAGCUUACAAUAUCGCAUGAUAAAGUAAGAAAAGAUUUAUCGGUUUAGGAGGGGCCCGCGUCUGAUUAGCUAGUUGGAGAGGUAACGGCGCACCAAGGCGACGAUCAGUAGCCGACCUGAGAGGGUGAUCGGCCACAUUGGGACUGAGACACAGCCCAAACUCCUACGGGAGGCAGCAGUGGGGAAUAUUGCACAAUGGAGGGAACUCUGAUGCAGCAACGCCGCGUGAAGGAAGAAGGUUUUCGGAUCGUAAACUUCUAUCUACAGGGAAGAAAAAAAUGACGGUACCUGAGUAAGAAGCCCCGGCUAACUACGUGCCAGCAGCCGCAGUAAAAC
rnacentral:rRNA from 1 species